CAACCUUGAAGAUAAUAUUGAUUUAGCAGAAGAUUUCUUGAAAUAUGUCAUCCAGUAUGUUUUGGAUC
rnacentral:snoRNA from 1 species